rnacentral:lncRNA from 1 species
GCUUUAGUCUCCCGAAUCAGUCCGUCCACUUGUUUCUUGAUUUCAUGGGUCCUAGAGAUGGUCUGCUGAGAAAAUUCCUGUAGAAACUGUAGUAGCUAUUUUCAAAAUAAACACAGUAGUAUCAGUAUUACACAAUUAAGUGUCAAAACAAAAAAACCCCGCAUCCUUUCACCUUCACGUGUUGGGAUAUAAAAGGCUGAAUCCUUAUGUUGGCACUGGCACUGCAAAACACUAAGAAAGCUCACUUAACGAGUGGCAUGGAGUCGACAGGCACUUACAGGCUACCUCCUUUCUGAGGAAUUUUGAAAUCCUCUUGGGUUGUCAUUUUUAUUCAUACAGGACUUGGGAAUUAAGAGUUCUGGGCUUUAUAGACCCUACGUUUGAAGAGUCUCACUCAGGGAUCUCUACAUACUGGCUCAUCUCCCAUUCCACUCGGUCCAGGUCCAAACAAUCGCCUCAACAGGACCAUCAGCUUAGCAGAAAUGGAUCUGCCCAUUGGGAUGGAGUCGGGCACAUCGCUAGUACAUCCAAACAGGUUGAGUCCCGGCCACAGACCGAGUACUCUGGGGCAGAGGCCCACGGCCCCUUCCCUUCCCCGUGCCUGCGGGUGCUCGCACGCCUGCCCUCCCUCCGUUGCAUGCUGGGACUGCCUCUCACGCCCGCGUCGGCCGCCAGCGACCAGUUCUGGCUGCUCCUGCGGAUCUCCUCCACCGACCAAGGUCGCUCCCACUCGGCCUCGGACGCUGGCGCCCGCUCCAGGUCGGGGGUCGUUUGGUUCAUCUGCAUCGGGAAGGAAGAGACCAUGCUGAGCCCGGGGGCAGACCCUCCAGCUUGGCCCGCCCCAGCUCGUCCCAGCCCGCUGCCCUCAUCAUCUUGGCAUGCUCAACCGCUCCGGAGCCACGACGCCCGCCGCCCAGGACUGCGGAGCCUCAGAAGCCCAGAUCCUGUCGCGGCCCCCACGGGACGGGGAUCAUGUGAUCCCGGUCAUGUGAUUUACCAUAGCGCACCCACAUCCGCACGUGACCGGAAGUGCGUCGCACGGACAGGAAGCGUGACAGCGCUCCCUGAGGGCUCAGAGGAGUUCAGAAUGAAAGGACACAUCCUGCAGAGUUGUAACAUGGACCUGUGAAAUCGCUGGCUUGGUGCCUAGCAUAUG